rnacentral:lncRNA from 1 species
CAGAGUUUGGGGGAGGGCUGUUCUAUGGCAGCCAGGGGUUCUGGAUCACAAGGAUGGGGAGUGUGUCAAGUACUGGAGAAUGAGUCUAGACAGCACUGUGUUAGGUCUGCUGCUGAAGGCUUGAACGUAAACUUAGAAGUCCCUUCCCUGUACCAGACAACUUUGGAGACUCAGCUAAAAAGAUGAGUAGUUCAACUCUCACAUGACCAAGAUAAAUAAUCUAGAAAAGAUGAAAAAGGCUGUAUUCUGUAAGUAGGAUGGAAUCCAACAUCUUGGGCAAGUCUUCCAUUUACUUAACCUAAAUGAAAUCUCCAAUCACUUCUCAUCUCCUGACAACAGAGCUUCAGAAUGAUUUCAUCCCAGGUGCUGACCUCCCAUAAAAUCCACAGUGAGACGUUGGAAGCCAGAAAGUCUUGGGCUGUGUGGGGAAAAAAGUGAGAAAAUAACAAUAAAAUACACAUGUGCUGGCGAG